GACCUCAGGUGAUGCACCCGCCUUGGCCCUCCAAAGUGCUGGGAUUACAGGCGUGAGCUACCGUGUCCAUCCAAUUUAACGUAUUUUUCUAAACUAAACAGUGUUGCUUCUGAAUUUCUCCCUUGAACCUUGGAUUGCUGGGUCCUUUCAGGCAACAAAGGAUACCAGGUUAGGAAGUAUGGGCUAGUGUUAACGUGAACUAGCAGAUAACCAAAAUUGACUUUAGAGUCAACUUAAUAUUGAAGGUGAGGGAACAGAGACCUAAAUGACCACUGGCUCUCAGCAAAGAGGAUUCGCAGCUGUGCUUUGCCUGAAUGGGUGUUGUAAACACAGGGGCAGAGGCGUGUUUGGAGAAAGGGUUCAGAAUUUGGAGUGCGACAGACCUGGGUUCGAACAGAGCUCCGCUUGCUUCUCGGUGGCUGUGAGGGUUCCCGCACACAUCCUCCCGAACGCUCGGCGUCCUCACCGGUCCGCUAGCCUGGGUACGAGGCGUCAACGCGCCACUGGGCGCGCCGGAGGCCCAGAGGUCUGAAGGGCCGCCGCGCCCACGCCCCCUGUCGGCCGGCCCCCGCCCAACGCAUGGCUCGGGGGACACCAGCGGCCGGAUUCCCUGUGUCCGCUCCCUCCUCGGCUUCUUGGCGACCGCAGCGGCUUGUGGCGCCGUCGCCUUCCUGGGCUACUGUGUUUACUUUUACCGGAAGCGGCGCGGGGAUCCCGCGUUCUAGCGCCGCCUGCGGGAGAGUGAGUGGGACCGAGGCUGAGGCGCGGCCGGCCGGCCGGGAGGACACCCCCGAACAGAGGUCGGGCCGCGAGUACCUCCGCCACUGCCGAAGAGACCGCGGCGCCCGGGCGGGCCGAACCACUGGGUCCACGCCUGCCUCGGGACGGGCCUCCCAGCCAGCAGUUGCAGUGUUUUCGCAAAAAGAAGAGCCGAGCAGCAAAAGGCUGAGGAGCGGGGAGUGCAGGGGCCGGACACAAUGGCUCACGCCUGUAACCCUGCACUUUGAGAGGCCAAGUUGUGGGAUCCAGUGAAGAAUGAAAAAUUGCAAGAACUUUUCUUGCAAGAGGUACAGAUGGGAGAACUUUGGUUAUCUAGAGGAGAGUAUAGAAUGGGGGUUCAGCACCUCAGCAAUGCUCUUUUAGUGUGCUGACAACCAAGGGAACUUCUGAAGGUUUUCAAACACAUACUCCCUCCCAAGGUAUUUGAGAUGCUGUUGCACAAAAUUCCCCUUGUUUGCCAGACUGCUGGGUCUACACACACCCUGUCCUUAUUAUACACCUCAUGGUAACAACUGAUGGCUGCUACUGAAAAAUCUGAAAAGACAUAGAUGAAGAAUGCCUCAAGUGCUGUUGGUAUGAAUCUUCUUUAUUAAUUAAUUUAUUAAUAUACAUUACUGUAACAGUGUAUGUUUCCUUUUUUCAAUGAAAUAAAGUUUAUCAUACUAUAAAAGUAAUAUAUUUAUUGACAAUUUGGAAAACCAAAGAUAAAAAAAAGUUCUACCAUUCACAGACUGCUAUGUUAACAUUAUGAUUUAUUUUCUUUAGAAUCACUCGAUUGUGUAUUUUAUUUAUUUAUUUUUGAGAUUUAUUUAUUUGUUUUUGAGACAGUCUCUCACUCUGUGGCCCAGGCUGGAAUGCAGUGGCACAAUCUUGGCUCAAUACAUCUUCUGCCCCCUGGGUUCAAGUGAUUUUCGUGCCUCAGCCUCCUGAGUAGCUGGGAUUACAGGCAUGCACUACCAAGUCUGGCUAAUUUUUUGUAUUUUUAGUAGAGAUGGGGUUUUGUGAUGCUGGCCAGGUUGGUCUUGAACUCCUGACUUCAGGUAAUCCGCCCACUUCGGCCUCCCAAAGCGCUGGGAUUACAGGUAUGAGCCACUACGCCCAGCCCAAUUUCAUAUUUUAUUUUUUUAAAUAUAUUUUCCAGACCUACAGUUAAACUCAAGAGCUAAUAAUCAGCAGUUUUCUUAAGUCUGCUUAAAUCUCUAAAGCUAUCCUCUGUAGUCACCAGUAUCUCUCAAGACUACGGUAUAGGUCAGGCAUGGUGGCUCAAACCUGUAAUCCCAGCACUUUGUGAGGCUGAAGCAGGUGGAUCACUUGAGGUCAAGAGUUCGAGACCAGCCUGGCCGACAUGGUGAAACCCCGUCUCUACUAAAAAUACAAAAAUUAGCCAGGUGGCAUAUGCCUGUAAUCGCAGCUACUUGGGAGGCUGAGGCCAAAGAAGUGCUUGAACCUGGGAGGCACAGGCUGCAGUGAGCCAAGAUUGCGCCACUGCACUCCAACCAGGGUGACAGAGCGAGACUGUCUGAAAAAAAAAAAAGGAAAGAUUACAGUACACAUAAUUGUAGGCAACUGGUUCAGAGAAAAUACUGGAGAUGAUUGAGUAAAUAAAUGAUUUUCAGAGUUACUUGCUAGUUUGCAGUCUUCUAAAUCUUUCACUAUUCACUUUGCAGUUAUUUAAUAGUAAGUUUAGAUUGAUAAAUUCCACUAGCCACAUAAACCACCUGAUGGUGAGAACAGGUAGCAGUAAUGUAGUCGUCCUUUUAUUUGAUCCUAGUUUCCAGAUAUUACAACAAAUGUUUGUUAUUAUAGCAGCAAAGACCCAUCAGGGGUUACCUUCUGAUUAUAUCCCUGAAACCUGAAGAGGGAGAGAAGAAAUAAGCGAAUUCAAGAAUCACUAGCCUAUAUCUUGGGGAUGAUUACAAUGAUGCCGUUAAUCUUGCGGCAAACAAAAUAUAGCAUAGAACCAGAGAACUUAAGAAUAAAGGGAGAUCUGAUCAGUCAUCAAGCUCAAACCUUUU